CGUGCCGGGAGCUCUGCGCGCUCGGCCCCGGGUCCCGCCUCCCCGAGGUUUUCGCUUUCGCUUUCCCGCCGAUGUCGUUGGGGAAAAUUAAGCUGCCGUGGCCAGGCUGGCGCAGAUGCCGUUCCGGGCCAGGGGCGCAGAGUGCGGCGGCGCGGCGGGCCUGGGACCCGGGUCCUCGCUGCCCGCGCCGGGCGAGAUGGCAGCACGUCCUGGGAUUCCCUGCACUGUCCUGAGGCUGGACAGCAGAGAAGCAAGAAAAUGGACUCCCUUCUCCCAGAGACUUGCUUGAAUGCCAGCCACGAGUGACAGAGUUUUGCAAGCUAUUGGAGGAAAACAACAUCAAGACAGGGACUCAAUAAGUUCCUUAAGGUCUUGCUAAGAUGCUGAGGCCUGCUUAGAAGUUGUGAUCCUCCUGCCUCAGCCUCCCAAACCACUGGGAUUACAGUCCAACUUGUAAGACAUGAAACCCAGUUGCCAAAGGCACGAGGGAAGGAGCAGAACUUGGAGGAAAGCAGCGUUGGCCUUGGCCUAAGACUGAAAAACACCGUCUCUCAACCAGCCUGGGACAGAGGCAAGACAUGUGAGCUCCCCUACAUCUUUGUCUCCUGCCUAUAAAAUGGACAUAUCACCUACCUCAAAAUUAGGACGAUUUGGUGAAAUUGACACAUUUUAAGGCUGCAGCAUGGCCCACCAUGUUAUGCGUGCUCAGAAAAUGGGUGUCCAGAUGAGACAUGAACUGACAGUGUUUGUAUCUGGGUAGAAACCUGGAAACAGUAGGCUGUGUGUGUGUGUGUGUGCGUGCGUGCGUGCGUGCGCGCAUGCAUGUGUUUGGCUGGUAGAAUCAUGGGUGAUUUUCAAUAUUUUUUGUUUUUCUACAAGAAAUACAUACUACUAGUGGGGCACAGUGGUAUACACCUGUAAUCCCAGUGACUCGGGAGGUUUAGGCAGGUAGAUCACAAGUUUGAGGCCAGCCUCACCAAUUCAGCCAGACCCUGAGCAACUUAGUGAGACCCUGUCUCAAAAUA